rnacentral:rRNA from 1 species
GGUCUGGAUGGCCGGUCUGCCUCACCGCAUGCACUGGUUCGUUCGGAUCUUUCCUUCUGGGGAAUCUCAUGCCCUUCACUGGGCGUGUUGGGGAACCAGGACUUUUACUUUGAAAAAAUUAGAGUGUUCAAAGCAGGCAUAUGCUCGAAUACAUUAGCAUGGAAUAAUAGAAUAGGACGU